rnacentral:rRNA from 1 species
CCUACGGGAGGCUGCAGUGAGGAAUAUUGGUCAAUGGGCGUGAGCCUGAACCAGCCAAGUAGCGUGAAGGAUGACUGCCCUAUGGGUUGUAAACUUCUUUUAUCAAGGAGUAAAGUGAGGCACGUGUACCUUUUUGUAUGUUAUUUGUACAAAAGGAUCGGCUAAAUCCGUGUCCGCAGCCGCGGUAAUACGGAGGAUUCGAACGUUAUCCGGAUUUAUUGGGUUUUAAGGGAGCGUAGAUGGGUUGUUAAGUCAGUUGUGAAAGUUUGCGGCUCAACCGUAAAAUUGCAAUUGAUACUGGCAGUCUUGAGUACAGUUGAGGUAGGCGGAAUGCGUGGUGUAGCGGUGAAAUGCUUAGAUAUCACGAAGAACUCCGAUUGCGAAGGCAGCUUACUAAACUGCCACUGACACUGAUGCUCGAAAGUGUGGGUAUCAAACAGGAUUAGAUACCCGGGUAGUC